CUUGGAGUGAAUACAAUAAAACUUUUGAAUAUCACUUUGUUAAUAUAUUGAAUGCUACUGAAUCAAAUACAUUAGAUAUAUAUUUAUGUUGUUUUGCUAAUUUAAAACUGUGUUCAACCAAAAAAGUGUUUAUAGAAUCACUGAAAGAAUGUAUAGAAGAAUUAGAAAUUAUAAAAAAUAGUAAUGAUAUAAGGAAUAUUAAAGAUAGAGAUAAAUGUGUCUCAAGUACUAAUGUAUCAACAUCUGAUGAUAACAAUACACUAGAUAAAAACAACACACUAGAUAAAAACAACACACUAGAUAAAAACAACACACUAGAUAAAAACAACACACUAGAUAAAAGUAACACACUAGAUAAAAAAGAAUUAUAUAAAAAUGUAUUUGAAGAAGUGGAAGUUAAGUUAUCAAAAGAGAUUGUUGACGACUUGUAUGAAAUAGCGUUAAAAAAUCCAUGUUUUAGAGAAUCAUAUUCUUUAAAUAGUCAUGAUGAGAUUAGUGGUGAUAAUACACAUAAGGAAGAAAAAUUAUUAACACAAUAUAAAAGUAAUUAUAAACAAAUUGCAUCAAAUUUUUAUAAAUCAAAUGAAUAUGCAAAAUUGAAACAAGAAGGGAAAGGGUUAAUAAGUUGUGGUAAUAACUGUAAAAAUAAUAUUAACAGUUGUAUGUUAGUAAAUAGUAACUAUUUGGGUGUAGAAAAUGGAAAUAAUUAUUGUACGAACACUUUGUUAAACAACUGUUCUAACUAUUGUACAUAUGAAUGUUUACAGAACAGUAGUAAUAGUACUAUCGGUGUAAAUGGUGGGAUUUAUCAUAAUAAAUUGAACAAUAACGGAAAUAAUGACACAGAUCAUACUAGUUGUAAUAUAAAUAAAAAUAAAAACAAUUUUAUAAAUGACACCAUAUUAAAUAAAUUAAAUGUUAGCAUUGAUUAUAAUUCAUAUAAAGAUUUUCCAAAUGAUAAAUAUUAUGAAGAAGUUAAACAUGCUGUAGAAAAAUAUAGAGAUGUUAACAGACAAAAUUUUAU
rnacentral:lncRNA from 1 species